UACGAAGGGGGCUAGCGUUGCUCGGAAUCACUGGGCGUAAAGGGCGCGUAGGCGGCCUGCUAAGUCAUACGUGAAAUCCCAUGGCUCAACCAUGGAACUGCGUGUGAUACUGGCGGGCUUGAAUUCGGGAGAGGGAUGCGGAAUUCCAGGUGUAGCGGUGAAAUGCGUAGAUAUCUGGAGGAACACCGGUGGCGAAGGCGGCAUCCUGGACCAACACUGACACUGAGGAGCGAAAGCCAGGGGAGCAAACGGG
rnacentral:rRNA from 1 species